rnacentral:rRNA from 2 species
GCGGCGGACGGGUGAGUAAUGCCUAGGAAUCUGCCUGGUAGUGGGGGACAACGUUUCGAAAGGAACGCUAAUACCGCAUACGUCCUACGGGAGAAAGUGGGGGAUCUUCGGACCUCACGCUAUCAGAUGAGCCUAGGUCGGAUUAGCUAGUUGGUGAGGUAAAGGCUCACCAAGGCGACGAUCCGUAACUGGUCUGAGAGGAUGAUCAGUCACACUGGAACUGAGACACGGUCCAGACUCCUACGGGAGGCAGCAGUGGGGAAUAUUGGACAAUGGGCGAAAGCCUGAUCCAGCCAUGCCGCGUGUGUGAAGAAGGUCUUCGGAUUGUAAAGCACUUUAAGUUGGGAGGAAGGGCAGUAAGUUAAUACCUUGCUGUUUUGACGUUACCAAAAAGAAAAAAGCACCCGGCUAACUUCGUGCCAGCAGCCGCGUUAAAUA